UUUCAAGACUCGGUUCAGCUGCUGAUAAGUGCAAUGCCAUCAAUAGCCAAUGCAAGGCCUAUCUCAGUGCGAUCAUCAUCUAUCUUUACACACAUGAUUUUCAGCAAGCUCAAAAAUGCUACAAUGACUGCUUAGAGGUUCAAGCCUUCCUCAAUAGCGACCAGAAUCGAUGUGCAAUGAAGCUAUUGUCUGCUUAUGAGGAAGAUGAUGCUAAAGAAAUCAAACGCAUUGCUCAAUCAAGUGCCUUCAAUCACCUUGACCAUGUGGCAAAAUCUCAGGUUGGAGAAAAAAUCAUGGUUAAAGUAGUGUUCAUUUCAAUCUCCAUGUUGUCUGCGUAAGUGUACAACAUUUCUGGUAUCCACCCCAUCCUCAUCACACGCAAGUUCAUACGUCCCUAAUUACAUAAAUACUAUUUUUUGAAUGUCAGCUUCAAUUUAAAUGCAGAGAAUGAUAGGUCGAAGUAAUAUCUUUGUGAUAAUCUGGUUCCAGUUAAUGAAUUUGUAAGAUCUCAUAUUUGUAGUUUCUAAAAGUUUUGUUCAGCAAUCUCUGGUCCUUGCAUGAAAAGUGAAUUAGCAUCAAGUUUUGAUCAGUUUUGUGUUUCUCUUACAAUGUUUGGAAUUGUGAUUCUAAAAUAUAGAGCUUGGGCCCUUGGCAAAUAAUAGUUUGGUAAGUGCGCAGUCUACAACUUAGCCUUAUACUUCUGAUUUUGUUUGCAUAUUGUUUCCGAAAUGGGAAAAGAAAGGCCAAAGGUUAUCUAAUGCAGCAGCCUUAUACGAGUCAUUCAAAGCUUAGGAAGAAGACUCCAGGAGCAGCUUUAAGAAACAAGAAAGAAAUUAUCAGUGUCGUGUGCCAGUCAUCAGACAACUUUUUUGACCGCCAACUCCAAGCGAUCUGACAGAUUAUUGUAUAAUUGCGCCGUUGGAAUUGUGUCUAUGGUCUGUAGCCUGUUCGGCGUGACUCAAAAUAUAAACCUUUGGAUAUACAUGCAACAGUCUUCAAGCUGUUAUGUAGUAGUUCAAUUGUUUUGUU